rnacentral:rRNA from 1 species
AUUGAGCGCUGGCGGCAGGCCUAACACAUGCAAGUCGAACGAGUGGCGGACGGGUGAGUAAUGUCUGGGAAACUGCCUGAUGGAGGGGGAUAACUACUGGAAACGGUAGCUAAUACCGCAUACCAUCGGAUGUGCCCAGAUGGGCUUAGCUAGUAGGUGGGGUAAAGGCUCACCUAGGCGACGAUCCCUAGCUGGGCUGAGAGGAUGACCAUCCACACGGGGACUGAGACCCGGUCCCGAAUCCUACGGGAGGAAGAAGUGGGGAAUAGUGCACAAUGGGCGCAAGCCUGAUUCAGCCAUGCCGCGUUGAUGAAGAAGGCCUUCGGGUUGUAAAGUACUUUCAGCGGGGAGGCGUUACCCGCAGAAGAAGCACCGGCUAACUCCGUGCCAGCAGCCGCGGUAAUAC